rnacentral:rRNA from 1 species
CUAUGGCGAGAAGUGGCAAACUGCUCAGUAACACGUAGCUAACCUACCCUCAGGACGGAGACAACCCCGGGAAACUGGGGUUAAUCCCCGAUAGGCGUGGAUUCCUGGAAUGGUGUCACGCCGAAACGUUAACACACCAUGUUUGUGUACACGCCUGAGGAUGGGGCUGCGGCCGAUCAGGCAGUUGGUGAGGUAACGGCUCACCAAACCUUUGACCGGUACGGGCCGUGAGAGCGGUAGCCCGGAGAUGGACACUGAGACAAGGGUCCAGGACCUACGGGUCGCAGCCGGUACGAAACCACCACAAUGCACGAAAGUGCGAUGGGGUUACCUCGAGUGCCGCCUGGAGAAGGCGGCUUUUCCAUUGUGUAAUGAGCCGUGGGAAUAAGGGGGGGGCAAGACUGGUGUCAGCCGCCGCGGUAACACCAGCCCCCCGAGUGGUGGGGAUGUUUAUUUGGCCUAAAACGUCCGUAGCCAGCUAGGUAAAUCUCUCGUUAAAUCCAGCGUCCUAAGCGUUGGGCUGCGAGAGAGACUGCCAAGCUAGAGGGUGGGAGAGGUCAGCGGUAUUUCUGGGGUAGGGGCGAAAUCCAUUGAUCCCAGGAGGACCACCAGUGGCGAAGGCUGCUGUCCAGAAACACGCCUGACGGUGAGGGACGAAAGCUGGGGUAGCGAAUCGGAUUAGAUACCC